UCGAGACAGCACCAAUUGCAACAUUUCCAUAUUUUAUUAUUUCUUUCCCUAUUUCUUGAUCUUCCUUUUUGCCUUGUUGUACCUUUGAUGUCCCAGAUCACUUCCAAAUAAACAGCCUGUCCAGAAUUAUUUUUUACCUUUUGGUCACAGUUCUGCUAUCUCCUUACCUGAAUUUGACCCUUCUUACACCACUACCUAGUUCACCUUGACACUGCUUGGCAUUUGGCACUGCUGCCCUAUAAGCUUUCACUCCCUGAAAGGUUCCCUCAGUUAACAUUCUGAAAUUUGGCAAUCAGUCACACAAUUCCCCUUAACCAUCUGCAAAAUCUAACUGUCUCAUAGCACUCUGGGUAGCUUUUGUCAGCUUCUGACUGUUAUCAUCACAGCCAGCAGUUUUUCAUCUCAUGUCCUGUGGCAUCUCAUGCUCUGUUCAGACAUGUAGACCUCAGGUCAGCACCUAUUCAUUUUCUUGCAGCAGUAACAGCAUACAUAACCCUAAAGACAGAUGUCUACCAAUGCCUAUCAGUACAGAUACAAAUCUAUCAUCACAUCAAGGGAGAGAAACUAAAAGCAUCCAUCACUGAGGCCUGCGCUUUGAUGAUCUGCUCAUCUGACAGCACUGUGAACUGGCAUGGUGUGCAGCAGAAUCUAAUUGACAUAUGAUAAGCCAUUGCUGAAACAUCGCAAAAUGUACUGAGAUUUCUGAGGUCAAGAAGUUGAAGAACUACUCCAAGCAAACCUGGAAUUUAUUCUGGAAUAAUGUAAUUUGUGCCUUCCUAAAGGCAAGUACUGCUUCAGAAAAGCUGUUACCUGCUCUCCAAGGUGAGAGAAGAACCCUUAGGACAUCUCCAGUGAUUUAUUUUGUCUCUCAUACUCUUCCAUCUCCACUACAACAAGGAUCUGGCUUGUUUUCCUCUCAAUAUGCCAACGAAAGUGAAUUCAUUGUGGCCUUUAGUGUUCACUGUUGUUCAACGUUGACAAGAACCUCAGGAAACAUGAACUGCUUGGAGUGAGAUGAGACUGCAGCAGUGGAACUUGCUCUUUGGGCCUGGGAGCUUUACAUAAGUUUGAUGGACUACUAUAGCAAUUCUGAAGUACUGACACUGCAUGACACAUCUAUGGUCUAAUACUCAAGAAAUUUACACUUCACUGUGCAGAAGGCAGUAUUCUUCAUAAUGUCUGACUACUGGCAAAUACUGAGGGGAACACGGUACGGCGCGCACAUUGUGGAAGGAAAACUGCAUCACAGCCUCUGGAGGACUAAGGCUGGUAGCAUUAGAAAGGAAAACUCCAUCAGUUAAUGGCUACUGUGACUUCUUUUAUGAAUGAUUCAACUGCAUUUGUCCUCCACAGCAUAAAUCUUGUUGUGCAUUCCCAGAAAUCAAUGCAAGAUUAUUAGAGCUCUGCAAUAAAACAUUAACUUUACUUCAGGAAUCUACCCAGCGUUGUCUUUCCCUGGAGAAAAAAUCCUGUAACCUACAUGUGUGCUUUAAGUCUGAGCCUAGUUUCCUAGUCCUCUGAAGGAGUACUGAAGUAAAUUAAGAUACUGAUGCUUGGGUUAAAAUUUUGGUGCAGAGCUGAAACAGGCAGUCAUGCACACUGAUCAGAAAUGAGAGAGCUGUGACUAGGCACAGCCAUCAGUGUGGUUUUGGUGCAUUAUCAAGGAGAAACAAGCUAUGAAUGCCAUCUGCUGGAGAAGGGCUUGCCAGGCCCAGUUGAUGAUGCCUCACAACAGCUUUGGGCUGGGGAACAAGUGUCUGAGACUGAUCAUCAUAGCAAUUUUUUCCAUCAGCUCUGUCAGCAGAAGCAAGAGUCGAUGCUUAUUUUGAGGGAAUUGGUCCAUCCUCCUUCUUUUUCAGCACUUUCUUAAAAUUCAGUAUUAUGCAAGGAAUUUUUGCUUUUGUGUAAUGGGGGUGGACUGGUUGAGUAAUAAGAAGGGAAAAGAAAAUGCAACAAAAUGUAUUCUGUUGUUUGUGGCUGGGGUAUGAAGAUAUGAACAACUAUUCUAUUCAUCACCAUACACUUCUGUUGACACAGGUCUGUCAUCACACUGAGGUGAGACCUCUGAGGAGAACAAUCUCUGCACCCACUGUAUUAGAGCUGGUCCAGGAUGCAAUGAGUUCAGUAUUCUGUAAAAAGCACUUUAGGACUUGCUGCUUUCUUUAGUUCUGGAAUGAAAGGCACCAUGCUGAAAAUUUUCAGGAGUUAUGAAUUAGUUUGAUCUGGUCAGCCAGAGUCCUUUUAAAUUAGUAGAGAAAUCAGGUUUUUGAAGAGAAAGAUAAAUUCAAAUAUCUGUCAUAGGAUGGGACAAACAACCCUGUAGGUUAUUGACUAGAGUGUCUGUUAUGUAAGUUGCUUAGCUGAUUUCAGCUAUCCAGUUAGUACUUUAAAACAAAUCCUACUCUACCAAUAAUUCUCUCAUUGAAAUCAGCAGGAAUUUUUUGGAGUUGACUGUAAGUCAUUAUAGCAUGGUUUGACUAGCCUAAAGGUAUUGUUAAGUAUUCUUACUGAAUAAAUUACUUUAUUAAUUUCACCUUCAUAAAGAUACAUUGCUGUCUCAAAGGAUAAGGACAAAGGAUUCAGCAACCAGUGCUCCAUGGGAUAGUUAUGGACAUCACAGUUAACAUAGGAAUUUGAGGUCCCUGCUUACCCUUACUGCCUUGGUCAUAGAACAGUAGAUUUGGACAUGGUUGCAUUCUCUAGCAGUAAAUUCAUAUUCAUUCAGUGAGAGGAAAGACACAAAAUCCAGGCACUUUGCUGAAUUAAGAAAGAUUCAGGCUUACAUCUCACCUCUGAGCUCAGCAGACCCAGGCUUUAGUGCUUCUGACAAUUACAAUCCAGGGCAGCUCCCUCUUUCUGUUCUGUUUCGUAUCUCCCCACCCAAGCACUUUGUGCUCCCUGCACCCUAAAUCCAGUCUGCAUCAUACAAGUCUUUCCAACUAACUAAUAUGAUUCAGUAAGAAGUCAUUGAAACAUUCCUCUUUCCCUUCAUAUAACUACAUACAAAAGGCUAGCUAGCCCAAAGUAGCUGAGUUUUGGUGAUUUCAGCACUGGUCCUAUACAGGAUUUGAAAAUGGGAAUAUAAAGGGACUCUCUCAAUCUAAGCACAGUGAGAGUUGAGAGGAUGGAAUGAUCAGUACAUUUCAGCUGUAUUCUGAAGAGCAGUAGAGUCUGAAUCUCCUUCUGAUUUGCUGUGGUGAUUGCUUCCCCAGCAGGAGGUCUCAAGAGCUGUGUAAGAUACUAUGAAGC